rnacentral:rRNA from 1 species
GCUAAUAGUGUUAUCUUCUUUAUUGAGAUGACAAUUCUUCUUAGAGGGACUGGCAACUCUUAGUUGCACGAGAUUGAGCAAUAACAGGUCUGUGAUGCCCUUAGAUGUUCUGGGCCGCACACGCGCUACACUGAAUAGAUCAGCGUGUCACCCUUCCCGAAAGGGACGGGUAAACCGCUGAACCCUAUUCGUGGUAGGGAUCGGGGCUUGCAAUUAUUCCCCGUGAACCAGGAAUUCCCAGUAGGCACAGGUCAUAAGCCUGUGUCGAUUACGUCCCUGCCCUUUGUACACACCGCCCGUCGCUACUACCGAUUGAACGUUUUAGUGAGGUCCUCGGAUUGUGAUUCAGCUGGUUCACGCUGACUGUUUUGCGAGAAGACGACCAAACUGAAGCGUUUAGAGGAAGUAAAAGUCGUAACAAGGGU